rnacentral:rRNA from 1 species
CCUACGGGGGGCUGCAGUGGGGAAUAUUGGACAAUGGGGGCAACCCUGAUCCAGCCAUGCCGCGUGUGUGAAGAAGGCCCUCGGGUUGUAAAGCACUUUCAGUGAGGAAGAACGCCUGGUGGUUAAUACCCAUCAGGAAAGACAUCACUCACAGAAGAAGCACCGGCUAACUCCGUGCCAGCAGCCGCGGUAAUACGGAGGGUGCGAGCGUUAAUCGGAAUUACUGGGCGUAAAGCGCGCGUAGGUGGCUUGAUAAGCCGGUUGUGAAAGCCCGGGGCUCAACCUGGGAACGGCAUCCGGAACUGUCAAGCUAGAGUGCAGGAGAGGAAGGUAGAAUUCCCGGUGUAGCGGUGAAAUGCGUAGAGAUCGGGAGGAAUACCAGUGGCGAAGGCGGCCUUCUGGACUGACACUGACACUGAGGUGCGAAAGCGUGGGUAGCAAACAGGAUUAGAUACCCGAGUAGUC